GACGAACGCUGGCGGCGUGCUUAACACAUGCAAGUCGAACGGAAAGGCCUGCUUUCCCUUGUGGAUUGCGGGUACUCGAGUGGCGAACGGGUGAGUAACACGUGAGUGAUCUGCCCCCAACUUGGGUAUAAGCCUGGGAAACUGGGUCUAAUUCCCGAUAGGACUGCAGGGUGGUGCCUGUGGUGGAAAACGAUUUUCUAGUGGUUGGGGAUGAGCUCGCGGCCUAUCAGCUUGUUGGUGGGGUAAUGGCCUACCAAGGCGGCGACAGGUAGCCGGCCUGAGAGGGUGGACGGCCACAUUGGGACUGAGAUACGGCCCAGACUCCUACGGGAGGCAGCAGUGGGGAAUAGUGCACAAUGGGCGGAAGCCUGAUGCAGCGACGCCGCGUGGGGGAUGACGGCCUUCGGGUUGUAAACUCCUUUCGACCGCGAGGAAGCCACCUGGUUGGAAGGGUGGUGACGGUAGUGGUAGAAGAAGCACCGGCUAACUACGUG
rnacentral:rRNA from 1 species